rnacentral:rRNA from 1 species
GAUGAACGCUGGCGGCGUGCUUAACACAUGCAAGUCGAACGAAGCAUUUGCGACAGAUUUUUUCGGAAUGAAGUUGCUUAUGACUGAGUGGCGGACGGGUGAGUAACGCGUGGGUAACCUGCCUUGUACUGGGGGAUAGCAGCUGGAAACGGCUGGUAGUACCGCAUAAGCGCACAAUGUUGCAUGACAUGGUGUGAAAAACUCCGGUGGUAUAAGAUGGACCCGCGUCUGAUUAGCUAGUUGGUGAGAUAACAGCCCACCAAGGCGACGAUCAGUAGCCGACCUGAGAGGGUGACCGGCCACAUUGGGACUGAGACACGGCCCAGACUCCUACGGGAGGCAGCAGUGGGGAAUAUUGCACAAUGGAGGAAACUCUGAUGCAGCGACGCCGCGUGAGUGAAGAAGUAAUUCGUUAUGUAAAGCUCUAUCAGCAGGGAAGAUAGUGACGGUACCUGACGAAGAAGCUCCGGCUAAAUACGUG